rnacentral:rRNA from 19 species
UGACCUCAAAUCAGGUAGGAUUACCCGCUGAACUUAAGCAUAUCAAUAAGCGGAGGA